AUCGUUCUUAUCUGUUAUUUUUUUUUUCCUUUCUUCUUUCUUCUUUGCUCCUCCUUUUCUCUCUCAAGAGGCAAUGAUGACAUUGGUUUUGGAUUGUGAAUCGGGAUGGAUCGAUCGCCGUCGAAGAAUUCUCGCCGCCGGUGGCGUGGUAUUCUUUGGAUCGGGAAGCAUCCAAUUGCAGCCAUUCAUGGCGGUGCUUCUUUUCAACGAUCGAUCCCAUCUUUGUUCCAGAUCUGAGCCUCUGAAUUGAAUUGAAUUAACUAUUUUCUUGUUCUUGGAGUUAUCUUUGAUGCGAUGUUGGGUAGAGUUAUAUGGAAUGAAAGAUGUGAAUUUCUUUUUGAAUUCUAUUCAUUUAAUUUUCUCUCUCUCGUUCCAUAUAUCGUCUAAUCAACAAAGUGUUAAUUAUUAUGUAUACUUUUUUCCAUGAAUUUUUAUUCUUGUAAUAUAUAUAUAGUUAGAGAUUUGUUAGAAACUGUUUAAGGUAGUUUCAAGUUAAUUAUGAUUAGGUGAAAAUUUGUUAUGUUAAUUACACACGAGCCCGUUUGGAUUGACUUAUUUGAGCUUUUUCUGACAUUUGCCAUUUUAUGAUAUUUGUUUUUCACUGUUAUACAUUGGGGCUAAUGAAUAAUGACUCAGUUGAUAAUGAAUUGACUUAACUCUGCAUGGGUGCGGGGACCUCUUUAGUAGGUGAUCUGUGAGUACUCUCGUGAGCUCUCGAGUCAAACUCAUCUAAACUUUUUGUAACUAAAGUAUAAUGUUGGUUCGUGGUUAAACCUGUGUUGAUCAUGUUCCGACUCCAAUUUGAAAGCCACCUUUAUUUAAUGUGUUAACAUAUAAACGUAUAUAAACAAUGCUUAAUUUAGUUGUGUGAACUUUGCAAGAAAUAAAAGCUUUGUGAUGGAAAUUUUAAGCAUUUUAACAUUGAUUGCCUUGUAUUGUUGUUAGAUCAGCUUUUAGUUUCACUUUACUAUGAAGGUAGUUACAUAUUAUGUUAUUGCAUAGCAUGAGAAACCGGGAAGAAUUGUGGUUCCUUCAAACCUUUGAUGGAGGACAAAGAUUUAAGCUAUCCUUCUUCCAACAAGGAUGAUAACAAUGAUGGAUUUGCUUUGUUGUAAGGAUUGUAUUCAUAUUCAUUUUUAAUUGUUUAAUAUUUUCGCUAAGAUAAGAUUAUAAUGACAAAAAUGGUCCGUGAUUCAUUGUAGCUUGAUAAAUAGUAUGUAUAUAUAUUUCAAUUACAUAUUUUUAGUGAUUCACUUGAAUCUGAUUUUAAGUUUCUUGUUAUAAAUUUUCGCAUUUGUUGUACUGAACUGAGUAGAAUAGAAAUUCUUGCACAACCUUUAAGAUUUAGUUUAGCCUGGAUUUGUUUGUAUCAAUUGGUUUUGAUGAAUAUUUCAGAUUCUCUCAAUCCAAAAAGAAAAGCAUUCAUUCUUUUUCAUCCCAAUAAUUGUGUUUGGAGAAGUAGGUGGAUCAACAACGAUUGCAACCUGUAGAGGUACAAAAGCAUGUGCCGGUGGUUUCAAUUCAACUGGAACAAUACUCAAUACAUCACCAGGAUUAGCUGGUAAGAUGGAAGACACGUGGUUCGUAUCGCUACAUGGGCUUCCUGCAAAUUGUAAAACCGUAAAUAAAGUUUCAACUUUUGCUUUUGAAAAAUAAUGUCGUAGUUACUGGUACAAUGUGCAGGAAGAUCGUAGUUGCUUUGAUCAAAUUAAGUAAGGUAAACAUAAUGAUAUUAUUACUUACUCAUAAAUCUGCUUGCAGUGGCUGGAAAAUCGGCCACAAUUCCACCAACCUUCGCAGUUUCAAUGUAAGUAGCAAUAUCAACAUUGGGAUCUCACCAAUAAUUGAAUGCCAAUGACAUGCAUUCAUUUUUAAGAGUAUUGACGAAUACGGUUAGGUUUGCAUCUUUCAACUCUAAAACAACAUUUGUUAAUCCUAUCAACUAGGAAUCAGCUGAUUUGAUAAGAGUUUUUGGGAAGAUUCACUGCUUCUGUGUACUUCUUAAUUUCUUCCAAUGUUUGUUUUGGUAUAUUGUCUAUUUUAUCUUGAAUGAACAACACCCUUUUGUAAGAUGGGAUUUUUUUAAACUUGGAUAGUACUGAAGUGUCGUCUGAUUGGAUGGGAUUUCUUGUCAAAGGUAGCUUUCUCAAAGCAGUGGUGACAUCACCUACAAUGUCAAGACCCUUAUUGGAUGCAACGUCAAAGAGAAAAAUCCAUUUUUUGGUUGAAGUUCUGGGACAUUUGAAGUUCGUGAUAUGAAUUUAGUCACUACAGUGGUUUCUGCUAUUAGAUAUGCGGUAUUCGCGCGGAAGACAAUUCCAUCUUUUGUCAUUUGAAGUGAGAAAUCUAUGAUGUCAGUGCCAUUGGUUAUAGUUUGCUGAUAUGCAAGAUCGGCGCUGCCUAGGUAACACCGCUUGCUCCGCUGUUGGCUCUGGUUGAAGUUGGUCCUGCAGAAGAAACCAAAAGGUUACAAGACUUGUUUAUUUUUUUUUGUUUUUUCUUGUGCGCAAAGCACUCUAUAAUAAAAUAACAAAAUUGUGAGAAAGGUUAGAAGAGUGGUUUUCGUAUUUUAGAAAUAGAUCAUGAACUAAGAGUUGGAGAUUUCCGGUUUGUAAUCUCGCCAAUGACAUUUGAUAUUGUAGAUGGGAAAUCUGUGACAACCCCAUCAGUAAAACCAGCAGUAAAAUCAUUAGCAAAACCAAAAGCAUAUACUUUUAGUCCUAACUUAUGUUGCAUGAAGUCCUAAAUAUUUGUCAUGUUUAACCGGCAGCAAUAUGAAUUGUUUAGGGGCUAUGAUGUCUGAUGCAACUCAUUGAUUGUCAUGA